AUUAUACCAGAAAUUUGCUGAUACUAGUUUACCGUGGUCUAAAUGGAUAUUAUACCAGAAAAGGAACUAGUACUCUUGCUCUUGAGUUAUACGUAGAGAACAUGCUAAAGUUGGAGAGCGGUGCGCUUGGCUAAGUUGUUCGGGUCUCAGUGGUCACAUAUGUUGUGCAACUGCUGCUAGAUUUGGAUUUGGAAAUUGGAUCAUUGAAGAAUUCUCACAAGAUCAUGGACUAUUUCAGAUGGAGCUGGAACACCUUUAUCUGAAUGAUGGUAGUGAGGUAUGACUGAGUUGGCUUAAACUAG